CUCCUCGCUAGUUCCUUAUGUUUAUCACCUGAUGUCUUCCUGAUGUGUCCUGGAUCCUUGUUGAUGUUUGACAAUUUCUUCCAUAGAUGGCACCAGAGUUCCUGGCUGCAAGGUGACAGGUGCAGUGAAUCUUCUGAUUAGUUGGAGGCGUCCUUCAGCAGGAAGCGUCCAACACUUCCUCGCCUGAGUGAUUGCCAUCAGUGGCUCCCUACCUGGACCAGCAGACCUUCUGGCUGGUACCCUGGCUUCCUCUCCAGAGGCGUUUUUGUGUUACUGGAUCUUUGACCUCUGGACAAGACCUGCCACCGAUCCUGGACAAGGAUUCAAAACCUUCGUUGCUUACCUGGACAAGAAUCAAGAUGGCAGCUUCCUGGCUAUCUAUCUAUCCAUCCGGAGUGAAGUAAUAAGCGUACCCUGGUCACCCUCCAAGACAAGUGCACCUCGCUGUCAAACAAUGCCUGAGAACCUUCUAAGUUGAGCAUUCAGACGUCUCUCGUUUCACCCUGGUGGUUCUAUUCAGCUAUAAAUUCACGAGCUCCCGGUUCCUGACCACACACCUCCGCCUUUGUAAAAUAAACUCUUUAAACACUUA